rnacentral:lncRNA from 1 species
UCUGAUCUUAAGGCUCUAAGUUGGAACCAUUGUUUCAUACCUGAGCCAUUUUGGUCUAGAUUAGCAUUCGGGGACCCUCCGUUAUGGUCGAUGCGAACAUGGGCGCCCUCUACAUGUCCCCUAGCACCUUAGGACACCUGUUGAUCAUCCAUGAGCAAUCCUAGAGUGAGUUGUAAUGAUCUUGAGCAUGAAAAUUCACUAUAAAAGGCACUACAUUGCACACAAUUGAAUCACACCUCAAACCUGCUCUCUUGAUCAUCUCUGGAGCUCUCAAGCAUUCUUCUAACAUCCCUAGUCGUACACCAAGCUUCUAUUAAAUGCAGGUACUAAACGUAAUUGGCUGGAUAUAGCUCCU